GACAGUGCUGACGCUACAAGGCUCGGAGCUCCGGGCACUCAGACAUCAUGAGUUGGUCCUUGAACCCCCGGAAUUUAAUUCUCUACCUUUAUGCUCUUUUAUUUCUCUCUUCAACAUGUGUGGCAUAUGUUGCUACCAGAGACAACUGCUGCAUCUUAGAUGAAAGAUUCGUAAGUAGUUUUUAUGUUUCUCCCUUUGUGUGUGAACUGGAGAGGGGAAGAGGAAUAGAAACAAUUCCCUCAUAAAUAUCAUCUGGCACUUGCAACUUUUUAAAAACAACAGGUUUUACCUAUUUUUCUUAAUAGAUUUUAAGUGUAGCAUCUGUCAACAUUUUUAAUCACUGUUAUAUUUUCAGGGUAGUUAUUGUCCAACUACCUGUGGCAUUGCAGAUUUCCUGUCUACUUAUCAAACCAAAGUAGACAAGGAUCUACUGUCUUUGGAAGACAUCUUACAUCAAGUUGAAAACAAAACAUCAGAAGUCAAAGAGCUGAUAAAAGCAAUCCAACUCAGUUAUAAUCCUGAUGAACCAUCAAAACCAAGUGAGAAAAUAAAGACUACUGACCAAAAACUACUAAUAAUAAUCUGUGAAGUUCUUUUGCUGUUGUUUUAGUUGUUUUAUUUGCUUAAGGAUGUUUAUGUCUCUGAUCCUAUAUUACAGAUACGAUAGACUCUGCUACUCUGAAGUCCAGGAAAAUGUUAGAAGAAAUUAUGAAAUAUG
rnacentral:sRNA from 1 species